UAGGGAAUCUUCCGCAAUGGGCGAAAGCCUGACGGAGCAACGCCGCGUGAGUGAUGAAGGUCUUCGGAUCGUAAAACUCUGUUGUUAGGGAAGAACAAAUGUGUAAGUACCUAUGCCCGCCUUGACGGUACUUAAUCAGAAAGCCACGCCUAACUACGUGCCAGCAGCCGCGGUAAUACGUAGGUGGCAAGCGUUAUCCGGAAUUAUUGGGCGUAAAGCGCGCGUAGGCGGUUUUUUAAGUCUGAUGUGAAAGCCCACGGCUCAACCGUGGAGGGUCAUUGGAAACUGGAAAACUUGAGUGCAGAAGAGGAAAGUGGAAUUCCAUGUGUAGCGGUGAAAUGCGCAGAGAUAUGGAGGAACACCAGUGGCGAAGGCGACUUUCUGGUCUGUAACUGACGCUGAUGUGCGAAAGCGUGGGGAUCAAACAGG
rnacentral:rRNA from 1 species